rnacentral:rRNA from 1 species
UACGUAGGGGGCUAGCGUUGUCCGGAAUCAUUGGGCGUAAAGAGCUCGUAGGCGGCUCGUCGCGUCGACCGUGAAAACCCGCGGCUUAACUGCGGGCUUGCGGUUGAUACGGGCGGGCUAGAGUUCGGUAGGGGAGACUGGAAUUCCUGGUGUAGCGGUGAAAUGCGCAGAUAUCAGGAGGAACACCGGUGGCGAAGGCGAGUCUCUGGGCCGAUACUGACGCUGAGGAGCGAAAGCGUGGGGAGCGAACAGG